UGGGGAAUAUUGGACAAUGGGGGCAACCCUGAUCCAGCGACGCCGCGUGUGUGAAGAAGGCCUGCGGGUUGUAAAGCACUUUUAGUGGGGAUGAAAAGUGCAGAGAUAACACCUCUGCAUCUUGACCUAACCCACAGAAAAAGCACCGGCUAACUCUGUGCCAGCAGCCGCGGUAAUACAGAGGGUGCAAGCGUUAAUCGGAAUUACUGGGCGUAAAGCGUGCGCAGACGGUUGCGUAAGUCAGAUGUGAAAGCCCCGGGCUCAACCUGGGAAUUGCAUUUGAGACUGCGUAGCUAGGGUGCGGAAGAGGGAAGCGGAAUUUCCGGUGUAGCGGUGAAAUGCGUAGAUAUCGGAAGGAACACCAGUGGCGAAAGCGGCUUCCUGGUCCAGCACCGACGUUCAGGCACGAAAGCGUGGGGAGCAAACA
rnacentral:rRNA from 1 species